rnacentral:rRNA from 1 species
CCAAUAGCGUAUAUUAAAGUUGCUGCAGUUAAAAAGCUCGUAGUUGAAUUUCGGAACCAAUAUGUUGGUUGUGCCUCGGUACGUACUGGCAUUGUUGGUUUCUCCCUUCUGACGACUAUGAUGUCAUUAAUUUGGUGUCAUGGGGAAUCAGGACUGUUACUUUGAAAAAAUUAGAGUGUUUAAAGCAGGCUCACGCUUGAAUACAUUAGCAUGGAAUAAUGAAAUAGGACGUUUGAUUCUAUUUUGUUGGUUUCUAGGAUUGACGUAAUGAUUAAUAGGGAUAGUUGGGGGCAUUAGUAUUCAAUUGUCAGAGGUGAAAUUCUUGGAUUUAUUGAAGACUAACUACUGCGAAAGCAUUUGCCAAGGAUGUUUUCAUUAAUCAAGAACGAAAGUUAGGGGAUCGAAGACGAUCAGAUACCGUCGUAGUCUUAACCAUAAACUAUGCCGACUAGGGAUCGGAUGAUGUUAAUUUUUUAAUGACUCAUUCGGCGCCUUACG